rnacentral:rRNA from 1 species
UAGGGAAUCUUCCGCAAUGGACGCAAGUCUGACGGAGCAACGCCGCGUGAGUGAAGAAGGAUUUCGGUUCGUAAAACUCUGUUGUUAGAGAAGAACAGCGCAUAGAGUAACUGUUAUGCGUGUGACGGUAUCUAACCAGAAAACCACGGCUAACUACGUGCCAGCAGCCGCGGUAAUACGUAGGUGGCAAGCGUUGUCCGGAUUUAUUGGGCGUAAAGCGAGCGCAGGCGGUCAAUUAAGUCUGAUGUGAAAGCCCCCGGCUCAACCGGGGAGGGUCAUUGGAAACUGGUUGACUUGAGUGCAGAAGAGGAGAGUGGAAUUCCAUGUGUAGCGGUGAAAUGCGUAGAUAUAUGGAGGAACACCAGUGGCGAAGGCGACUCUCUGGUCUGUAACUGACGCUGAGGCUCGAAAGCGUGGGUAGCAAACAGG